GAUGAACGCUGGCGGCGUGCUUAACACAUGCAAGUCGAACGAAGGCUUUACGACAGAACUCUUCGGAGGGAAGAUGGAAAGACUUAGUGGCGGACGGGUGAGUAACGCGUGGGUAACCUGCCCCAUACAGGGGAAUAACAGCCGGAAACGGCUGCUAAUGCCGCAUAAGCGCACAGAGCCGCAUGGCACGGUGUGAAAAGUUCCGGCAGUAUGGGAUGGGCCCGCGUCUGAUUAGCUGGUUGGUAAGGUAACGGCUUACCAAGGCGACGAUCAGUAGCCGGCUUGAGAGAGUGGACGGCCACAUUGGGACUGAGACACGGCCCAAACUCCUACGGGAGGCAGCAGUGGGGAAUAUUGCACAAUGGGGGAAACCCUGAUGCAGCGACGCCGCGUGAAGGAAGAAGUAUUUCGGUAUGUAAACUUCUAUCAGCAGGGAAGAAGAAAGACGGUACCUGACUAAGAAGCUCCGGCUAAAUACGUGCCAGCAGCCGCAGUAACAC
rnacentral:rRNA from 1 species